AGCGAACGCUGGCGGCAGGCCUAACACAUGCAAGUCGAACGAACUCUUCGGAGUUAGUGGCGGACGGGUGAGUAACACGUGGGAACGUGCCUUUAGGUUCGGAAUAACUCAGGGAAACUUGUGCUAAUACCGAAUGUGCCCUUCGGGGGAAAGAUUUAUCGCCUUUAGAGCGGCCCGCGUCUGAUUAGCUCGUUGGUGAGGUAAUGGCUCACCAAGGCUACGAUCAGUAGCUGGUCUGAGAGGAUGACCAGCCACAUUGGGACCGAGACACGGCCCAAACUCCUACGGGAGGCAGCAGUGGGGAAUCUUGCGCAAUGGGCGAAAGCCUGACGCAGCCAUGCCGCGUGGAUGAUGAAGGUCUUAGGAUUGUAAAAUCCUUUCACCGGUGAAGAUAAUGACUGUAGCCGGAGAAGAAGCCCCGGCUAACUUCGUGCCAGCCGCCGCAGUAACAC
rnacentral:rRNA from 1 species